rnacentral:tRNA from 1 species
GAGGGUAUAGCUCAGUGGUAGAGUGCAUGUUUCUCAUACACAAGGUCCUGGGUUCAAUCCCCAGUACCUGCU